rnacentral:rRNA from 1 species
CCCCUAGAUGUUCUGGGCCGCACGCGCGCUACACUGAACAGUUCAACAAGUCUUAACCUUGGCCGAUAGGUCUGGGUAAUCUCCAAAUUUCGUCGUGACGGGGAUAGAUUAUUGCAAUUAUUAAUCUUCAACGAGGAAUGCCUAGUAAGCGCAAGUCAUCAGCUUGCGUUGAUUACGUCCCUGCCCUUUGUACACACCGCCCGUCGCUCCUACCGAUUGAAUGGUCCGGUGAAGCGUUCGGACCGUGGCCUUUGGACGGUUCGCCGUCUGUUGGCUGCGGGAAGUUCGUUAAACCUUAUCAUUUAGAGGAAGGAGAAGUCGUANCA